AACGAACGCUGGCGGCAUGCCUAACACAUGCAAGUCGAACGAGACCUUCGGGUCUAGUGGCGCACGGGUGCGUAACGCGUGGGAACCUUCCCUUAGGUUCGGAAUAACUCCCCGAAAGGGGUGCUAAUACCGGAUAAUGUCUUCGGACCAAAGAUUUAUCGCCUUUGGAUGGGCCCGCGUUGGAUUAGCUAGUUGGUAGGGUAAAAGCCUACCAAGGCGACGAUCCAUAGCUGGUCUGAGAGGAUGAUCAGCCACACUGGGACUGAGACACGGCCCAGACUCCUACGGGAGGCAGCAGUGGGGAAUAUUGGACAAUGGGCGAAAGCCUGAUCAAGCAAUGCCGCGUGAGUGAUGAAGGCCUUAGGGUUGUAAAGCUCUUUUACCCGGGAUGAUAAUGACAGUACCGGGAGAAUAAGCUCCGGCUAACUACGUG
rnacentral:rRNA from 1 species